rnacentral:tRNA from 1 species
GCAGGUAUAGCUCAGUGGUAGAGUGCCUGCUUAGCAUGCACAAAGUCCUGGGUUCAAUCCCCAGUACCUCCA